rnacentral:rRNA from 1 species
CCUACGGGUGGCAGCAGUGGGGAAUAUUGCACAAUGGGGGAAACCCUGAUGCAGCGACGCCGCGUGAGUGAAGAAGGAUUUCGGGAUGUAAAGCUCUAUCAGCAGGAACGAGACAAGACGGUACCUGACUAAGAAGCCCCGGCCAACUACGUGCCAGCAGCCGGGGUAAUACGGAGGGGGCAAGGGUUAUCCGGAAUCACUGGGUGUAAUGCGUGCGUAGGCUGUUUCGUAAGUGGAGUGGCCAAGGGGCGGGCUAAACCCGCGGCCGGCACAUGAUACGGCGGGACUAGAGUAAAGGAGGAGGAUGCGGAAUUCUCGGUGUAGCAGUGAAAUGCGUAGAUAUCGAGAGGAACACUCGUGGCGAAGGCAGGUUCCUGGA